UUCAGAAGCAGAAGCUUGUGACUUGGCACCUGCUUCUGGAAGCCUCCAUAGACAGACCUUCUCAGAUGAUGCUACACCCUUGAGGCAGGAAGGAUAGGUCUGGAGGCGAGAGCAGGGCUCUCGAGACCCAAGAGGCCGAGUAGAGUGUCUGUCCUCUUGGGCCUGAGGUUUCCUGCUCGUCAGUGGGAAUCUCGGCCCGCACCCAGAGGACUCCUGACAUGUGCACUGACCAUGCUGCAAGGUGACCUUCUGCAUCCUGCAGUGGUGGAUGGUGAGGACCAUUGGUAACCAAGCAGAUGAAGUCCUGGGAGGUACAAAUGAGGAAGGUCAGCCCUGUCCUUGGCUGUCCCUUCAGACAGCUUCAUUGCCGGCCAGUCAUGCCUUCUAGCCCAGGGGCUGCACUGGCAGUGAUUUGGGGCCUGAUUAGGGGAAGGCGGGUGGUGCUGCAGACUGAAGAGGAGCUGCUUUUGCCUGGCCCAUCCAUCUCUCCAGAGCCAGCCUCCCGCCUUCCCACUCCCACUCAGUCAGUCUUAUAUAGGCAGCGCUGGCAAAAAUUACAGGUCAACUGGCGUUUCAGUUCAGUGGGACUCCCCAUGGCACAGUCAGAAGGGGCAGAGGCCCUUUCUGGACCGUUUAUCUGUCUGAGACUUACUGAGCCCUGCUAGUUUCUUCUCAGUAUUCCCACCUCUCCUCUAGAACCCUGACUUUAACUGGGAAUAACGGCACCUUUCCAAUGGAUUAAAUUUCCCAGCUUGCCUUGGAGUUCAGUGUAGCCACCUAGUAAGGUCAGGCCAAUGAAAUGUAAGCUGAGUUAUUGUGUGGGACUGCUGGAAAGUUUCCUUAAGGAAGGAGUAAUACACAUGUCUGUGCUUUCUUGUUCUGAAUGCAGAAUUCAGACGUGAUAGCUGGAGCUCAAGCAACCGUCUUUGACCAUGAAGUAGACACACCAAGCCUAGUGAAGUAGCUAAGUAGAAGGAGUUUGAGCCUCUGAUGAUGACAGUGCCACGAAACUUUCCCUACGUUGCACACCUGCAGACAUUUUUCAUGAGAGAUACUCUUUCAGGUGAUGGUGACACAGCAGUGAGGAUGGUACAUAUGGUAACCUGCCCUGUAUACUCCCGUUCUAGUGGAGAGAGAACCACAAAUGAUGAAACGCAAUAAUUCCAGGAAAUAAUCAGUGCUGUGAAGUACAGAAAGCAAGCAUGGUGGUCCUGGGGUGUGAGACUUCUUAAGAACCAGCAUCCUUAGAGUACCAUCUGGAAGCUGCAUGACCUUUCUGACCUGAGUCACGCUGUCUCUCUUCCAUUGCAUAUUAUUGGUUGCAGGAAUCAGCCUCAAAUCCAGGACAACCUUCCAAGAUAAGUCCCUGGAGAGUCCCCAAAGCUGUGGAAUUGCCUGAGGUUUGGGGAAUAUGGACCAGGGCAGGAGAAGCUUGAGAUCCUGCUCCAAAACUCUUCCAAGUCCUCCCACCCCAUCACCUCCACCCCCUCAUAUCACCUCGGAGACAGUGAGCCACUGGCCCCAAGAAGUGUUACUAGAUGGUUCAUGGAAUAGCAAACAUAGGAAUGAAUAUAUAUUAUCAUAUAUUAUAUCAUA